rnacentral:rRNA from 1 species
AUACGGAGGACGCGAGCGUUAUCCGGAUUCAUUGGGUUUAAAGGGUGCGCAGGCGGCCGUGCAAGUCAGCGGUGAAAGCCCGGGGCUCAACCCCGGAAGUGCCGUUGAUACUGCGUGGCUGGAAUGCGGUCGAGGCGGGCGGAACGGGGCGUGGCGGGGUGAAAUGCGUAGAUAUGCCACAGAAAGCCGAUAGCGGAGGCAGCUCGCCAGGCCUGCAUUGACGCUCGGGCACGAAAGCGGGGGGAUCGAACAGGAUUAGAUACCCUGGUAGUCCACGCCGUAAACGAUGGGCGCUCGUCGUCGGCGGCAGACAGUCGGCGGCCAAGCGAAAGCGAUAAGCGCCCCACCUGGGGAGUACGGUCGCAAGGCUGAAACUCAAAUGAAUUGACGGGG